UACGUAGGUGGCAAGCGUUGUCCGGAUUUAUUGGGUUUAAAGGGUGCGUAGGCGGUCUAUUAAGUCAGCGGUGAAAUACUCCAGCUUAACUGGAGGGGUGCCAUUGAUACUGAUGGACUUGAGUCAAGUCGAGGUAGGCGGAAUUGACGGUGUAGCGGUGAAAUGCUUAGAUAUCGUCAAGAACACCAAUAGUGAAGACAGCUUACUGGGCUUAAACUGACGCUGAGGCACGAAAGUGUGGGGAUCAAAC
rnacentral:rRNA from 1 species